rnacentral:rRNA from 1 species
CUACGGGAUGCAGCAGUGGGGAAUAUUGGACAAUGGGGGAAACCCUGAUCCAGCAAUGCCGCGUGUGUGAAGAAGGCCUGCGGGUUGUAAAGCACUUUCGGUUGGGAGGACUGCUUCUAGCACUAAUAUUGUUGGAAGUUGACGUUACCUUCAGAAGAAGCACCGGCUAACUCCGUGCCAGCAGCCGCGGUAAUACGGAGGGUGCAAGCGUUAAUCGGAAUUACUGGGCGUAAAGCGCGCGUAGGCGGCUAGAUCAGUCGGGUGUGAAAGCCCCGGGCUUAACCUGGGAACUGCAUCCGAUACUGUCUAGCUAGAGUACAGGAGAGGAGAGUGGAAUUCCACAUGUAGCGGUGAAAUGCGUAGAUAUGUGGAGGAACACCAAUGGCGAAGGCAGCUCUCUGGCCUGAUACUGACGCUGAGGUGCGAAAGCGUGGGGAGCAAACGGGAUUAGAUACCCUCGUAGUC